rnacentral:rRNA from 1 species
UAGGGAAUCUUCCGACAAUGGGACGAAAGUCUGACGGCAGCAACGCCGCGUGAGUGAUGAAGGUUUUCGGAUCGUAAAGCUCUGUUGUUAGGGAAGAACAAGUACCGUUCGAAUAGGGCGGUACCUUGACGGUACCUAACCAGAAAGCCACGGCUAACUACGUGC